rnacentral:rRNA from 1 species
UGCCUACGGGACGCAGCAGUGGGGAAUAUUGCACAAUGGGGGAAACCCUGAUGCAGCGACGCCGCGUGAGUGAAGAAGUAAUUCGUUAUGUAAAGCUCUAUCAGCAGGGAAGAAAAUGACGGUACCUGAGUAAGAAGCCCCGGCUAACUACGUGCCAGCAGCCGCGGUAAUACGUAGGGGGCAAGCGUUAUCCGGAUUUACUGGGUGUAAAGGGAGCGUAGACGGCCAUGCAAGCCAGGGGUGAAAGCCCGGGGCCCAACCCCGGGACUGCCCUUGGAACUGCAUGACUGGAGUGCGGGAGGGGC